ACCUGACUGGCUCAGUUGGUUGAGUGUCUGACUCUUGGUUUUGACUCAGGUCAUGAUCUCGUGGGAUCGAGUCCCACGUUGGGCU
rnacentral:tRNA from 1 species